rnacentral:sRNA from 1 species
AACUAGCCCAGAUUGUAGCGACAUCCUUUUCUGAGGAGGAAUGACGAGGAAAAGAUAUAGCGGAAAGCGGGAUUAAGC